rnacentral:rRNA from 1 species
UACAGAGGGUGCAAGCGUUAAUCGGAAUUACUGGGCGUAAAGCGUGCGUAGACGGUUAUGUAAGUCGGGUGUGAAAGCCCCGGGCUCAACCUGGGAAUGCCAUUCGAGACUGCAUAGCUAGGGUGCGGAAGAGGGAAGCGGAAUUUCCGGUGUAGCAGUGAAAUGCGUAGAUAUCGGGAGGAACACCAAUGGCGAAGGCAGCUCGCUGGGACGGUACUGACGCUGAGGCGCGAAAGCGUGGGGAGCAAACAGGG